CCUACGGGGGGCAGCAGUGAGGAAUAUUGGUCAAUGGACGAGAGUCUGAACCAGCCAAGUAGCGUGAAGGAUGACUGUCCUAUGGGUUGUAAACUUCUUUUAUAUGGGAAUAAAAUGUUCCACGUGUGGGAUUUUGUAUGUACCAUAUGAAUAAGGAUCGGCUAACUCCGUGCCAGCAGCCGCGGUAAUACGGAGGAUCCGAGCGUUAUCCGGAUUUAUUGGGUUUAAAGGGAGCGUAGGUGGGUUGUUAAGUCAGUUGUGAAAGUUUGCGGCUCAACCGUAAAAUUGCAGUUGAUACUGGCAGUCUUGAGUACAGUAGAGGUAGGCGGAAUUCGUGGUGUAGCGGUGAAAUGCUUAGAUAUCACGAAGAACUCCGAUUGCGAAGGCAGUUCACUGAACUGCAACUGACACUGAGGCUCGAAAGUGUGGGUAUCAAACAGGAUUAGAUACCCGGGUAGUC
rnacentral:rRNA from 1 species